rnacentral:misc_RNA from 1 species
AUUAUACCACGGCUGUUCAAAAUGAAACCUCAAACGGUUUUUGUUCUUGUUUCCUUGAUUGGGAUGUUACUGACUCCUCACCAAAUGCUUCUGACGAUACAAUCUGUUUUCUGUGAAAUCUUGAUGCAGACGAAAAUCCUACACAUGUUAUAUAAUGUAGUUGGACAUUGCGCCUACAAACUAACCAAUUUAUUUUCAAAUUUAAUUAGUUUUCGGUUUUAUUUCAUAUUUAACUAUGUCGUCACAUGUUAUUAUCUGUAUUCCAAUCAAAAUCUUUUUAGCAAUAAAAUGAGUCUAAUAUUUUUGA